UACGGAAGGCAGCAGUGGGGAAUAUUGCACAAUGGGCGCAAGCCUGAUGCAGCCAUGCCGCGUGUAUGAAGAAGGCCUUCGGGUUGUAAAGUACUUUCAGUCGUGAGGAAGGUGUUAAGGUUAAUAACCUUAGCAAUUGACGUUAGCGACAGAAGAAGCACCGGCUAACUCCGUGCCAGCAGCCGCGGUAAUACGGAGGGUGCGAGCGUUAAUCGGAAUUACUGGGCGUAAAGGGCACGCAGGCGGUUAAUUAAGUUGGAUGUGAAAUCCCCGGGCUUAACCUGGGAAUGGCAUUCAAGACUGGUUAGCUAGAGUCUUGUAGAGGGGGUAGAAUUCCAUGUGUAGCGGUGAAAUGCGUAGAGAUGUGGAGGAAUACCGGUGGCGAAGGCGGCCCCCUGGACAAAGACUGACGCUCAUGUGCGAAAGCGUGGGGAGCAAACAGGGAUUAGAUACC
rnacentral:rRNA from 1 species